ACUCCUACGGGAGGCAGCAGUGGGGAAUAUUGGACAAUGGGCGCAAGCCUGAUCCAGCCAUGCCGCGUGAGUGAUGAAGGCCCUAGGGUUGUAAAGCUCUUUCACCGGUGAAGAUAAUGACGGUAACCGGAGAAGAAGCCCCGGCUAACUUCGUGCCAGCAGCCGCGGUAAUACGAAGGGGGCUAGCGUUGUUCGGAUUUACUGGGCGUAAAGCGCACGUAGGCGGACUAUUAAGUCAGGGGUGAAAUCCCGGGGCUCAACCCCGGAACUGCCUUUGAUACUGGUAGUCUUGAGUUCGAGAGAGGUGAGUGGAAUUCCGAGUGUAGAGGUGAAAUUCGUAGAUAUUCGGAGGAACACCAGUGGCGAAGGCGGCUCACUGGCUCGAUACUGACGCUGAGGUGCGAAAGCGUGGGGAGCAAACAGGAUUAGAUACCCGGGUAGUCCCAUG
rnacentral:rRNA from 1 species